GGGACUCAGUCGGUUAGAGCGUAGCAUUCAUAACGCUAAGGUCGGGAGUUCGAUCCUCCCC
rnacentral:tRNA from 1 species